GACGAACGCUGGCGGCGUGCUUAACACAUGCAAGUCGAACGGAAAGGCCCUGCUUGCAGGGUACUCGAGUGGAGAACGGGUAAGUAACACGUGUGUGAUCUGUCCCGCAGUUAGGGAUAAGUCUGUACAAAAGGGUCUAUUACCGGAUAGGAGCCAUCUUUAGUGUGAUGGUUGGAAAGUUAUUUCGGUGUAGGAUGAGCUCGCGGCCUACUAGCCUGCUGGUGGGGUAAUGGCUUACCAAUGCGGCGGCGGGGAGCCAGCCUGGCAGGGUGGACGGCCACAAUGGGGCUGAGAUACAGCCCCGGCCCCUACGGGGAGGAGCAGGGGGGGAUAUUGCACAAUGGGCACGAGCCUGAGGCAGCUCCGCCGCUGCGGGGGUGACGGCCUUCGGGUUAUGAACUCCGUUCUCUAUGGGCGGAGCUUUUAGUGACGGUACCUAGAUAAGAAGCACCGGCUAACUACGUG
rnacentral:rRNA from 1 species